GGUGGUCCCACCUGACCCCAUGCCGAACUCAGAAGUGAAACGCCGUAGCGCCGAUGGUAGUGUGGGGUUUCCCCAUGCGAGAGUAGGGAACUGCCAGGC
rnacentral:rRNA from 1 species